CGAACGCUGAAGCACCAGCUUGCUGGUGUGGAUGAGUGGCGAACGGGUGAGUAAUACGUGAGUAACCUGCCCUUGACUCUGGGAUAAGCCCGGGAAACUGGGUCUAAUACUGGAUGCUACAUGUCACCGCAUGGUGGUGUGUGGAAAGGGUUUACUGGUCUUGGAUGGGCUCACGGCCUAUCAGCUUGUUGGUGAGGUAAUGGCUCACCAAGGCGACGACGGGUAGCCGGCCUGAGAGGGUGACCGGCCACACUGGGACUGAGACACGGCCCAGACUCCUACGGGAGGCAGCAGUGGGGAAUAUUGCACAAUGGGCGAAAGCCUGAUGCAGCGACGCCGCGUGAGGGAUGACGGCCUUCGGGUUGUAAACCUCUUUCAGCAGGGAAGAAGCCACAAGUGACGGUACCUGCAGAAGAAGCGCCGGCUAACUACGUGCCAGCAGCCGCGGUAAUACGUAGGGCGCAAGCGUUGUCCGGAAUUAUUGGGCGUAAAGAGCUCGUAGGCGGUUUGUCGCGUCUGCUGUGAAAGCCCGGGGCUUAACCCCGGGUGUGCAGU
rnacentral:rRNA from 1 species